AAGUGUUACAGCUCUUUUAGAAUUUGUCUAGCAGGUUUUUUGGGCCACAUGGGAAACCACC
ensembl:snRNA U7 U7 small nuclear RNA